GACGUAGGGGGCGAGCGUUGUCCGGAUUCAUUGGGCGUAAAGCGCGCGUAGGCGGCUGCGCAAGUCGGUUGUGAAAUUCCGGGGCUCAACCCCGGAACUGCGUCCGAUACUGCGUGGCUAGAGGUAGGUAGGGGAGAUCGGAAUUCCUGGUGUAGCGGUGAAAUGCGCAGAUAUCAGGAGGAACACCGGUGGCGAAGGCGGCUCUCUGGACCGAUACUGACGCUGAGGCGCGAAAGCGUGGGGAGCAAACAGG
rnacentral:rRNA from 1 species